rnacentral:lncRNA from 1 species
AAAUCUGCAUUUCUUAGAGAUUUAAAUCGAACCUAAUCGUAUGUAUUUUUCAGUGCGAAGGUGUAACCGAUCCUGUGAAGCUGCAGAUGACCGCCAACUCAUUGGCUUUAAUGGCGCGCUCAUUGUCAUUCGACAGCGAAUUCAUGUCGCCAUUCGCCAUAAAUGCCAGGCGCAAUAACAUUAAUGCAACAGGCGGCAAACCUGACGACAUAACUGUGGUACUCGCUACUGUAGCAAUGUGAAAUUAAUUAAGUUAUUUUUAGGUUUAAUUUAUAAAACGUGUAAACAGUUUGUUUGUUUCGCGACUUCUUAAAUACAAGCGCUGUGCAGCGGUGCUGCUUUCGUGCUGUGGUGUGAUGCUGACAGCUUUUGAGUUCGCUGCCACUGAAGCAGUUGAUCCAUCAGUCAGUCGAAUAUUUGGCCAGUAGCGUAAAUUUCAGGAAUAGAAUUGUGACAGAUUUUGCUCGUGUGUGCUUCACUUCGUACAACAUAACAAAUUGAACGCUUGCGAUGCUAAAUAAUUAUUAUUACUAAUUAUAUGCCCUCUUCUGUCAAAUAGUUAUUAGGUAGUUAGUUUUUUUUUUUAGUUUAGUUUAGCUUAUUUGUGAAUUUUCGUUACCGACCUUCCCUAUAUUUUAAUGGCCAUGUUCAUAAAAAAUAAAAUAGAUUUAAAAAGCUUUAUAAAGUGAUAUUUUCAUAAAAUUUGUCGAUUUAUAAAGCAUUUAAAGUCUUCUUUAUUUUUUAUUUAUGAAUCUGGAUGCUAUUUUUUAGUUGGAUAUGUGUUUUCUUAUGCCGAAUUUCCACUAGGCAUUGAAAUGACAAAAUAUGUAUGCCAUUAAAAAAAAUAAGUAAAGUCGGAAUGGGGAAAUGAACUUAAUGACUUUUUUUGUUUAACGUAAUAACACGAUUAUUUUUUAAUGCCCAAUUUUGUAAUUUUUGCCAUUUAAUGCCUAGUGGAAAUCCAGGAUUAGUUUCUUUUCGCUCUUAAGUGCAAACAGUUUUAAUUUAAGCCACCUUAUUGUGGGGAUUACUUACGUAAAAUUGUGAAUGAAGUAAUUUCCUGAGAUAGAAAAUAUAUAAAAAAAAUGUUGUAUUUAUAUAACUUUUAAAUUCGAACGACUAUAAUUGUUUGCAUUGCAAUGUCAUCACGUUUUCGACCAUAACAAUCAAAACUUCGGUGUUUCCAUUGUGUAUCGACGACUAACUCACAACAAAUAAAUUACAUACAUACAUAUAUAAACAUAUAUUCAUGAUCAGAGUUCGAAACGAAAUUUUUAAUGUUGUAACUCAGCUCUAUGGAACGUUGGAAGAAACUUGCAAAUGCCGAGGAUUAAUCUCAACAAUUAACUGCAUCUAUUCAUUACUACAAAAUUGACAUUUCAGCGAACAAUCCACUAUCUAAUACAUAUAUAUUACCGUCUGUCAUCUAUAUCUACUUAUCAAUUUCAACGAAGUAAUCGAUUAAUUUAAGAGCUAAUGCUACGAGUAAUAAUGUAAUAGUUAUAGAAUGUUAAUCAAGUAGACGCGUAAUUAGUGAAAGAUAUGCAAAAAACGGUAACACUAAAUUCAAAAUUGUAGUUAAUGAUAAUAAGAACAAACAUUUGACUGAACAUAAGCGGAAAUAAAAUUUAAAAUAUAUACAUAUA